rnacentral:rRNA from 1 species
UACGAAGGGGGCUAGCGUUGCUCGGAAUCACUGGGCGUAAAGGGUGCGUAGGCGGGGUUUUAAGUCAGGGGUGAAAUCCUUGAGCUCAACUCCAGAACUGCCUUUGAUACUGAAGAUCUUGAGUCCGGGAGAGGUGAGUGGAACUGCGAGUGUAGAGGUGAAAUUCGUAGAUAUUCGCAAGAACACCAGUGGCGAAGGCGGCUCACUGGCCCGGUACUGACGCUGAGGCACGAAAGCGUGGGGAGCAAACAGG